UGGGGAAUAUUGCACAAUGGGCGCAAGCCUGAUGCAGCCAUGCCGCGUGUAUGAAGAAGGCCUUCGGGUUGUAAAGUACUUUCAGCGAGGAGGAAGGCGGUAAGGUUAAUAACCUUAUCGAUUGACGUUACUCGCAGAAGAAGCACCGGCUAACUCCGUUCCAGCAGCCGCGGUAAUACGGAGGGUGCAAGCGUUAAUCGGAAUUACUGGGCGUAAAGCGCACGCAGGCGGUCUGUCAAGUCGGAUGUGAAAUCCCCGGGCUCAACCUGGGAACUGCAUUCGAAACUGGCAGGCUAGAGUCUUGUAGAGGGGGGUAGAAUUCCAGGUGUAGCGGUGAAAUGCGUAGAGAUCUGGAGGAAUACCGGUGGCGAAGGCGGCCCCCUGGACAAAGACUGACGCUCAGGUGCGAAAGCGUGGGGAGCAAACA
rnacentral:rRNA from 1 species